UAAAGUUCAGUCGCACAAGGCUUACGUGAGCUGGGGGAAGAUGGGAUGAGCGCGGUUCACGCGGCUGCCCGGCCGAUGUCAGCGGUGUUCUAGCAGAUUUUGGGACACUGUCUAGGGAGGAGGCAGAACCUUGACAAGCUUGUGCAGCCCUGACUGAGCAGGAGAAGGUGCACUGGCGGUGGAGCAUGACCGCACGAGAACGAAGGUUCUGAAGGCGGAGACUCAGACUGCCACGUCAACUCCACGCUCUGACCGUUAUAAGAAUGUCGUUCAGGAUGAUCAGAGAAUAUCUGAACGCCUGGGAUGCCUGUCCGGGGUUUGAGUAGUCACGUUGCACAUGGCUUUGUCUUUGGCCCCGAGAGACAUCAAAAGAGGCUGCGGCUGCUGCACUUGAGGAAUUUACAGUCAGGGUGAGACAGGACAACAAACCUGAGAAAUGAGGUGUUCCACAGUGUUAUCAACAACCAGAAAGCAGGCGACUGGUAACUAUGGACGCAGCUGAAAGCACAGCUUGUAAAUCUCUCUCACAAGCUGGUUGACCAGUAGGAGGCCUGUAAGUCCCAAACAGUGUUAGAUGUUCAUCCUGGUUUGUUCACCGUCUUGUUUGUGCCUCGAGAAAGAACAGAAAUGCCAAGCCCGUGCCUUCAGUGGCAGGUUGAUGAGGUCAUCACUGAACAGAAAUAUCAUUUUGUAAAGAACAUGGCUUGGGUGGGAGUGGCGUUAACUGUCCAGCUUACCUGUUUACAUUGACACAAAUCCCUUCAUAUAAAUGCGUCGUCCAGGCAACCCCAGAGGCCUAACUUGUCUGCUGCAUCAUUAUGAGCUGUGCCCAUGAUGCGAGAGCAGACACGUUGGAGGCAUCGGGGAGAGUUGGUUCUGAGGCUGAGGGCAGUGACCGGCGAGCCACAGGAGUGGGACUGUCAGAACCACACUUCCUGUCACCCCGCUCCGCACCGCUCCCCUCCCCAAGCCAGGCUUCACCUGGACAAAUCAGGCGGCCCCAGGCAGAGGGAUCAUUAUCACACACAGAAAACCUAAUUUCAGUAAGCCAGGGUUUGAAUCCUAGUUCUACCACCACUGGCUGUGUGACUUUGAGCAAGUUACCUUGCCACUCUGAAUCUUCACUGACUUAACUACAUUCUCC